AAAAUAAUUGAGGACUCCCAAGUCCUUGAUUUUAAACUCAAAGUCCAGAAAUCUCUUCAAGGCAGUAAUUUCCUCCAAAUCAUUACCAGUGAGAAUAAUAUCAUCAACAUAGACAGCCAACAAGACAAUAGAAGAGGCAGAUUUCUUAAAGAAAAGGGAAUAAUUAUUUAAAGAAGAAGAUAGCUUCUAGAACAUAAGGCUUGAGACAGCUUGGCA
rnacentral:lncRNA from 1 species